AGAGCGAACGCUGGCGGCAGGCCUAACACAUGCAAGUCGAGCGCCCCGCAAGGGGAGCGGCAGACGGGAGAGUAACACGUGGGAACGUACCCUUCAGUUCGGAACAACCCAGGGAAACUUGGGCUAAUACCGGAUAACGUCCGUAAGGAGAAAGAUUUAUCGCUGAAGGAUCGGCCCGCGUCUGAUUAGCUUGUUGGUGAGGUAACGGCUCACCAAGGCUACGAUCAGUAGCUGGUCUGAGAGGAUGAUCAGCCUCACUGGGACUGAGACACGGCCCAGACUCCUACGGGAGGCAGCAGUGGGAAUAUGGACAAUGGGCGCAAGCCUGAUCCAGCCAUGCCGCGUGGGUGAUGAAGGCCCUAGGGUUGUAAAGCCCUUUCGGCGGGAAGAUAAUGACGGUACCCGCAGAAGAAGCCCCGGCUAACUUCGUGCCAGCAGCCGC
rnacentral:rRNA from 1 species